AUUGAACGCUGGCGGCAUGCCUUACACAUGCAAGUCGAACGGCAGCACGGGUGCUUGCACCUGGUGGCGAGUGGCGAACGGGUGAGUAAUACAUCGGAACAUGUCCUGUAGUGGGGGAUAGCCCGGCGAAAGCCGGAUUAAUACCGCAUACGAUCUACGGAUGAAAGCGGGGGACCUUGGGGCCUCGCGCUAUAGGGUUGGCCGAUGGCUGAUUAGCUAGUUGGUGGGGUAAAGGCCUACCAAGGCGACGAUCAGUAGCUGGUCUGAGAGGACGACCAGCCACACUGGGACUGGGACACGGCCCAGACUCCUACGGGAGGCAGCAGUGGGGAAUUUUGGACAAUGGGCGAAAGCCUGAUCCAGCAAUGCCGCGUGUGUGAAGAAGGCCUUCGGGUUGUAAAGCACUUUUGUCCGGAAAGAAAUCCUUGGCCCUAAUACGGUCGGGGGAUGACGGUACCGGAAGAAUAAGCACCGGCUAACUACGUG
rnacentral:rRNA from 1 species